rnacentral:tRNA from 1 species
UUGGGCGUGACGCGGGUCCAGUCGGCGCGGCGCGCGCUGUCGCCGCGCGGGGAGAAGCGCAGCGCGUCGCGUUCGACCCGGGCGCCGGCU